rnacentral:rRNA from 1 species
UACGGAGGGGGCUAGCGUUGUUCGGAUUUACUGGGCGUAAAGAGCGCGCAGGCGGUCGUUCAAGUCGCGUGUGAAAGCCCCCGGCUCAACUGGGGAGGGUCAUUCGAUACUGAUCGACUCGAAGGCAGGAGAGGGUAGUGGAAUUCCCGGUGUAGUGGUGAAAUGCGUAGAUAUCUGGAGGAACACCGGUGGCGAAGGCGGCAUCCUGGACCGGUAUUGACACUGAGGCGCGAAAGCCAGGGGAGCAAACGGG